rnacentral:rRNA from 1 species
GGAUCAAUAUGCUGGUCGCGCCUUUGGUACGUACUGGUAUUAUUGGUUUCUCCUUUCUGACGAACCAUGAUGUCAUUAAUUUGGUGUCUUGGGGAAUCAGGACUGUUACUUUGAAAAAAUUAGAGUGUUUAAAGCAGGCUCACGCUUGAAUACAUUAGCAUGGAAUAACGAAAUAGGACGUUUGAUUCUAUUUUGUUGGUUUCUAGGAUCGACGUA